UGUUAAUUUUUUUAUCUAUUUGUAUUGUUAAAAAUUAACGUGACUAAGUGAAUAACUAGAGAAUGACAUAUGGUGUGCCACAUGUAUCUCAUACUGAUAUAUAAUUACUAGUUUUUGAUAGUAAAAAUUGAUGGAGUUUUUAAUA
rfam:Gossypium raimondii Chr05_contig_22, whole genome shotgun sequence.